CGGCACAUGGGAUACUCCAGGACCGGAGCACGAACCCGCGUCCCCUGCAUCGAGAUGAAGGCAGCAGAAGUGGAGAAGUCACAAACAGAAGAUCAUGUCCAGCUCUUACAAAAGCCACUUUUGCAGACAGUGACGUUCAGGUGAUGUGGACUUCCCAGCCUCUCUGCUCUGUUCUCCACCUUCUGGUGGGAGUGUUAAUAAACAGUGAAAAGAUAAUCAGCCAAACCAAGGAAAGUCAAAGGCCUUGAUAAUCCAGAAAUUGCAUAAACAGUUAUAUAAAAUUAAGAAUUGUCUCUAGAUUCAAAAGUGAUGUGUUUUUAUUCCUGAUCCUGAAAGAAUGAAAAUCACAAAAGAGAGAUAUAAAUCAUCACUUGUCACUAUUUUACUUAAUAUAACAAACUGCCUUAAUUACUAAUUUGCACUGAGCUGCAUUAAUAUUGCUUCAAGUACUAACAGUUUUCCUCUGAAAUUUUAAGACACUGCUUAUAAUUAUUUUUCUGGUUCGUACAGCCUGAGCAAAUUUCAUUAAACUCUUUUUGUUUCAUGGGUUCA